UUCCGGUUGAUCCUGCCGGAGGCCAUUGCUAUCGGAGUCCGAUUUAGCCAUGCUAGUUGUGCGGGUUUAGACCCGCAGCGGAAAGCUCAGUAACACGUGGCCAAACUACCCUGUGGAUGGGAACAAUCUCGGGAAACUGAGGCUAAUUCCCAAUAACGCUCCACCCCUGGAACGGGCGGAGCUGGAAACGCUACGGCGCCACAGGAUGUGGCUGCGGUCGAUUAGGUAGACGGUGGGGUAACGGCCCACCGUGCCAAUAAUCGGUACGGGUUGUGAGAGCAAGAGCCCGGAGACGGAAUCUGAGACAAGAUUCCGGGCCCUACGGGGCGCAGCAGGCGCGAAACCUUUACACUGUACGCAAGUGCGAUAAGGGGACUCCGAGUGUGAAGGCAUAGAGCCUUCACUUUUGUACACCGUAAGGUGGUGUACGAAUAAGGGCUGGGCAAGACCGGUGCCAGCCGCCGCGGUAAUACCGGCAGCCCGAGUGAUGGCCGAUAUUAUUGGGCCUAAAGCGUCCGUAGCUGGCCGGACAAGUCCGUUGGGAAAUCUGUUCGCUUAACGAGCAGGCGUCCAGCGGAAACUGUUCGGCUUGGGACCGGAAGACCUGAGGGGUACGUCCGGGGUAGGAGUGAAAUCCUGUAAUCCUGGACGGACCACCGGUGGCGAAAGCGCCUCAGGAGGACGGAUCCGACAGUGAGGGACGAAAGCUAGGGUCUCGAACCGGAUUAGAUACCCGGGUAGUCCUAGCUGUAAACGAUGCCCGCUAGGUGUGGCGCAGGCUACGAGCCUGCGCUGUGCCGUAGGGAAGCCGAGAAGCGGGCCGCCUGGGAAGUACGUCUGCAAGGAUGAAACUUAAAGGAAUUGGCGGGGGAGCACUACAACCGGAGGAGCCUGCGGUUUAAUUGGAUUCAACGCCGGA
rnacentral:rRNA from 1 species